rnacentral:snRNA from 1 species
AUCGCUUCUCGGCCUUUUGGCUAAGAUCAAGUGUAGUAUCUGUUCUUAUCAGUUUAAUAUCUGAUACGUCCUCUAUCCGAGGACGUAUCAGACAAAAAAAAAAGUUGUUGACAUUUAUU